CGUAGGUGAACCUGCGGAAGGAUCAUUGUCGAGCAUUGUUUAGCAUCACGUGACAUGUGAACGUGUAAAGUUUUGAAAAAGAAUCAGGGUAUUCUUAGUUUCAUAUUAUAGUUGAUCUUGCGGUUAUAAUCCUAAUGGGGCAUAAUUUUAUGUCAAGUUAAACAAGUUAAGUUGUUUAGUCCAUAUAACGUGGAAAGAACAUGUUUUAAUUUGGACCAUGAUGACUCAUAGCAAUGGAUAUCUUGGCUCUCGCAACGAUGAAGAACGUAGCAAGAUGCGAUACUUGGUGUGAAUUGCAGAAUCUCGUGAAACAUUGAUUCUUUGAACGCAAGUUGCGCCCGAAAUCUUCGGGUUUAGGGCUCGUCUACGUGGGCAUCGCCUCUUUUGAUGCCAUUGAAAGUAAGUUCUUUCAUUUAUUGACAAUAUGCAUGAGGGCGUACAAUGGUUUCCCGUGCGAUGCACGGUUUGCUAUAAAUUUGGACGUCCUAGGGACGCACGAUAUUAAUGGUGGAUAAUAUGAGUGGUGUUGAUCCCAUUUAUUGUGUACUCAUGAGUACUGUCUUUUGAAUGCAUGCGGGCAAAAUCUAAAAAAAUAUAAACAAGCGUGACCCCAUGUUGGGCGAGACUACCCGCUGAGUUUAAGCAUAUCAAUAA
rnacentral:rRNA from 1 species